GUGGGGAAUCUUCCGCAAUGGACGAAAGUCUGACGGAGCAACGCCGCGUGAGUGAAGAAGGUUUUCGGAUCGUAAAGCUCUUUCGUUAGGGACGAACGUGCUCUUUGUGAAUAAUGAGGAGUAAUGACGGUACCUAAAUAAGAAGCCACGGCUAACUACGUGCCAGCAGCCGCGGUAAUACGUAGGUGGCAAGCGUUGUCCGGAAUUAUUUGGCGUAAAGCGCGCGCAGGCGGGAUAUCAAGUCUGUCUUAAAAGUGCGAGGCUCAACCUCGUGAGGGGACAGAAACUGGUAUUCUUGAGUGUCGGAGAGGAAAGUGGAAUUCCAAGUGUAGCGGUGCAAUGCGUAGAGAUUUGGAAGAACACCAGUGGCGAAGGCGACUUUCUGGACGAUGUCUGACGCUGAGGCGCGAAAGCUAGGGGAGCGAACGGGAUUAGAUACCCGUGUAGUCC
rnacentral:rRNA from 1 species